CAUAAGCUCGCGCCUUGAGAUGAGCCUGCGGCCCAUCAUGGUAGUUGGUAGGGUAACGGCCUACCAAGCCGAAGACGGUAGCUGGUCUGAGAGGAUGAUCAGCCACACUGGAACUGAGACACGGUCCAGACUCCUACGGGAGGCAGCAGUGGGGAAUCUUGCGCAAUGGGCGAAAGCCUGACGCAGCGACGCCGCGUGAGUGAUGAAGGCCUUCGGGUUGUAAAGCUCUGUGGAGGGGGACGAAUAAGGGUUGGCUAAUAUCCAACUUGAUGACGGUACCCCUUUAGCAAGCACCGGCUAACUCUGUGCCAGCAGCCGCGGUAAGACAGAGGGUGCAAACGUUGUUCGGAAUUACUGGGCGUAAAGCGCGUGUAGGCUGCUCGGAAAGUCGGAUGUGAAAGCCCUGGGCUCAACCUAGGAAGUGCAUUCGAAACUUCCGAGCUGGAGUGCUGGAGAGGAAGGCGGAAUUCUCGGUGUAGAGGUGAAAUUCGUAGAUAUCGAGAG
rnacentral:rRNA from 1 species